rnacentral:rRNA from 2 species
CUAAUACAUGCAAGUCGAACGAACUCUGGUAUUGAUUGGUGCUUGCAUCAUGAUUUACAUUUGAGUGAGUGGCGAACUGGUGAGUAACACGUGGGAAACCUGCCCAGAAGCGGGGGAUAACACCUGGAAACAGAUGCUAAUACCGCAUAACAACUUGGACCGCAUGGUCCGAGUUUGAAAGAUGGCUUCGGCUAUCACUUUUGGAUGGUCCCGCGGCGUAUUAGCUAGAUGGUGGGGUAACGGCUCACCAUGGCAAUGAUACGUAGCCGACCUGAGAGGGUAAUCGGCCACAUUGGGACUGAGACACGGCCCAAACUCCUACGGGAGGCAGCAGUAGGGAAUCUUCCACAAUGGACGAAAGUCUGAUGGAGCAACGCCGCGUGAGUGAAGAAGGGUUUCGGCUCGUAAAACUCUGUUGUUAAAGAAGAACAUAUCUGAGAGUAACUGUUCAGGUAUUGACGGUAUUUAACCAGAAAGCCACGGCUAACUACGUGCCAGCAGCCGCGGUAAUACGUAGGUGGCAAGCGUUGUCCGGAUUUAUUGGGCGUAAAGCGAGCGCAGGCGGUUUUUUAAGUCUGAUGUGAAAGCCUUCGGCUCAACCGAAGAAGUGCAUCGGAAACUGGGAAACUUGAGUGCAGAAGAGGACAGUGGAACUCCAUGUGUAGCGGUGAAAUGCGUAGAUAUAUGGAAGAACACCAGUGGCGAAGGCGGCUGUCUGGUCUGUAACUGACGCUGAGGCUCGAAAGUAUGGGUAGCAAACAGGAUUAGAUACCCUGGUAGUCCAUACCGUAAACGAUGAAUGCUAAGUGUUGGAGGGUUUCCGCCCUUCAGUGCUGCAGCUAACGCAUUAAGCAUUCCGCCUGGGGAGUACGGCCGCAAGGCUGAAACUCAAAGGAAUUGACGGGGGCCCGCACAAGCGGUGGAGCAUGUGGUUUAAUUCGAAGCUACGCGAAGAACCUUACCAGGUCUUGACAUACUAUGCAAAUCUAAGAGAUUAGACGUUCCCUUCGGGGACAUGGAUACAGGUGGUGCAUGGUUGUCGUCAGCUCGUGUCGUGAGAUGUUGGGUUAAGUCCCGCAACGAGCGCAACCCUUAUUAUCAGUUGCCAGCAUUAAGUUGGGCACUCUGGUGAGACUGCCGGUGACAAACCGGAGGAAGGUGGGGAUGACGUCAAAUCAUCAUGCCCCUUAUGACCUGGGCUACACACGUGCUACAAUGGAUGGUACAACGAGUUGCGAACUCGCGAGAGUAAGCUAAUCUCUUAAAGCCAUUCUCAGUUCGGAUUGUAGGCUGCAACUCGCCUACAUGAAGUCGGAAUCGCUAGUAAUCGCGGAUCAGCAUGCCGCGGUGAAUACGUUCCCGGGCCUUGUACACACCGCCCGUCACACCAUGAGAGUUUGUAACACCCAAAGUCGGUGGGGUAACCUUUUAGGAACCAGCCGCCUAAGGU